UACGAAGGGGGCUAGCGUUGCUCGGAAUGACUGGGCGUAAAGGGCGCGUAGGCGGAUGGCAUAGUCAGAUGUGAAAUUCCCGGGCUUAACCUGGGGACUGCAUUUGAUACGUGUCGUCUUGAGUUCGGAAGAGGGUCGUGGAAUUCCCGGUGUAGCGGUGAAAUGCGCAGAUAUCGGGAAGAACACCCGUGGCGAAGGCGGCACUCUGGGACGGUACUGACGCUGAGACGCGAAAGCGUGGGGAGCGAACAGG
rnacentral:rRNA from 1 species